GAUGAACGCUAGCGGCAGGCUUAACACAUGCAAGUCGAGGGGCAGCACGUCUUCGUAUGGUGGCGACCGGCGCACGGGUGAGUAACGCGUAUGCAAUCUACCUUUUACAGGGGCAUAGCCCGGGGAAACCCGGAUUAAUAUCCUAUAGUACCAUUAUAUAGCAUUAUAUUAUGGUUAAAGUUUCGGCGGUAAAAGAUGAGCAUGCGUCCUAUUAGCUUGAUGGUAAGGUAACGGCUUACCAUGGCUAUGAUAGGUAGGGGUCCUGAGAGGGAGACCCCCCACACUGGUACUGAGACACGGACCAGACUCCUACGGGAGGCAGCAGUGAGGAAUAUUGGACAAUGGGCGCAAGCCUGACCCAGCCAUGCCGCGUGCAGGAAGACGGCCCUAUGGGUUGUAAACUGCUUUUAUACGGGAAGAAACACCCCUUCGUGAAGGGACUUGACGGUACCGUAUGAAUAAGGAUCGGCUAACUCCGUGCCAGCAGCCGCGGUAAUACGGAGGAUCC
rnacentral:rRNA from 1 species